UACGUAGGGGGCAAGCGUUGUCCGGAUUUAUUGGGCGUAAAGAGCGUGUAGGCGGCUAGAUAGGUCCGUUGUGAAAACUCGAGGCUCAACCUCGAGACGUCGAUGGAAACCAUCUGGCUAGAGUCCGGAAGAGGAGAGUGGGAAUUCCUGGUGUAGCGGUGAAAUGCGCAGAUAUCAGGAAGAACACCCGUGGCGAAGGCGGCUCUCUGGUACGUGACUGACGCUGAGACGCGAAAAGCGUGGGGAGCAAACAGG
rnacentral:rRNA from 1 species